rnacentral:rRNA from 1 species
AACAUCGCCUUUUGAAAGAAUAGAAGGUCUAACCUGCCCACUGAAUAAGUUAAAGGGCCGCGGUAUUUUGACCGUGCAAAGGUAGCAUAAUCAUUAGUCUUCUAAUUAAAGGCUGGAAUGAAUGGUUGGACGAGGUUCUAGCUGUCUCACUAAAAUAAAUUUGAAUUUAGCUUUUUAGUCAAAAGGCUAAAAUAUAGUUGGAGGACGAGAAGACCCUAUAGAGCUUUACGUUGGACUUUUUUAACUUGUUUAGGAUGAUUUUAGUUUUAAAGGAUAAGCGUUUCGUUGGGGUGACGGGAAGAUAAAAUAAACUCUUUUUAAUUUUUAACAUUGAUGUAUGAAUUAG